ensembl:lncRNA
AAAACAUGGGCAAAAUACCACUUAAAAGCAGGGCAAUCACAGGAAUCCCUCAUUCAAGUAGAAGCCACUAAGAAAGUUAUCUGUAACACACAUAUCCCCCCAAAAAAUACAAGUAAAAAUUAUAAACUAUAUAAGUUUGAAUCAUAUUCGGCCUAAUAAUAUAAGGGGUUCAUUCAUUCAUUCAUCCGCAAAUAUUUAGGCACUUUCUAGAAACUGAGGAGAUCACACUGAAAGAAAAUGUUUUAAUCUCUGCCUCGUGGAACUUACACCUUAGUCAGAGGGAGACAAGCAAUAGACAAAAUACGUAAGUAAAUUAUGUAGCAUCUUAGAAGGUAACAAGUGCUAUGGAGAAAAAUAAGUAAGGCGAGGCUGAUAGGGGAUAAGGAGUCCUGGGUCAAUUUGCAAAUUUAAAGAGAGUGGCCAGGGAAGGCCUCACUGAGGUGACUGUGGAGCAAAGACUUGUAGGGAGAGAGGAAGAAAGGCAGGCAGGGAUCUGGAGGCAAGUAUUCCAGGACAAAGGCACAGCAGGUGCAAGGCACUGGGGCGGGUGUACACCUGUGGUGUUUAAGGACCACGAAGAGGCCAGUGUGGCUGGAGCCAUGGGAGUGAGCGAUGGGAGAGGGGUUGGAGGCGAGGUCAGAGGUGCCCAAAGAUUUCUGCAAUAUCCAGGCACUGUCUACCUCUCAGAACGCUGCUGCUCAGCUGUGUCAGUCAGUGUCCAACCAGGAGACAGACACCACAUCGUACUUUUAACAGGGAAAGUUUAACUAUAACAGAUUAGAGUAACGGGGCGUGAGCUAACAAGAAGUAAAGAAAACUCUAACGACUGUAGGAAGUGCAGAUAUAAGGAGCAGCUGCUACCCCUAGAGCCGAGAUGGAGAGUCCAAGGAAGAGCCCCCCUCCUCCUGGAGCUGAGAUCCAUACCUUGUCGGAGAGAGCAUAGUCAUAGCUCAGUGGACAGAGAACAGCUGCUGAGGUGCCAUUACUGUUGGAACUUGCCGGAAAGCCAACCUCUAGGGUGCUGGAGAAAGCCAUUCCCAGGGAGGUGCCAUGUCCUGGAACUUGCCACAAAGCUGCAUGAGGGGCUCCCAGUGGGAGCUGCUGGAUCCUGUUGGUUGCCAUGCACUGCAGGAGCCAAGCACUGGAGGAGGCACUCACCAAAGGAGCCAGAAGCUGGAGAAGCCACACACUGCAGGAAAUGAGAGCCAAAGAAAGUUGUGCCCUGCAGUGUCAGCCUGUAGGGUAGAAACACACACAGAGCAGGAGCCGGCCAAGGCAGUACACUGGAACCACGACAAAAAAAAAACUUUCUCUUCGAGUAUUUCUCCAGCGCCCUCUACCGACAAAACUUAACAUCAUGCCACCUGGCAAAGGAGAACUACUUCAAGGGCCCUACUCCAUUUUCAUGAGCAGGCAAUGAUGUAUGGAUCUGAAGAUGAGAGGCACUCAGUCGAUAACCGGCACACCAAGCUUUUCUUAUUUGGAUGCAAUAUUCACAGCAUCAGCUGUUGAUGAAGUGUAAUAUUAGACUUUUCUAAAUGUUGCUACUUUUAAUGCAAGGUACUCUCCCACCCAAAAAAAAACCCCAAAACCAUGCCUUUGUGUGAAACUCUGGGUUCUGAAAAGUAAAGUACAGUCCAUCCUUUCUGAAAAUUCUACACUUAGAAAAUACUUGAAAAUCUAUUUAGGGCGCUGAAGAGUCCCCUUGUUAAAUAACGCCCUGUGUAGGUCUGGGUGCACACUGUUCUACAUAAUCAUAAAUUCAAUUGGUUUUGCUCACUUCAAAUUUUUGGGUAGGGGGAGGGCAAAGGGGUAAAAGGGUACAUAUGUAUGGUGACAGAUGGAAACUAGACUUUUGGUGGUGAACACAAUGCAGUCUAUACAGAAGCCAAAAUACAAUGACAUACACCUGAAAUUUAUACAACGUUAUAAACCAAUGUGAUGUCAAUAAGGUAAUUUUGUUAUAAAUUCUUGCCUCUUAGUAUUUGCUUUUUUUUUUUCUUUCUAAGAUAAGCACACAGUUGUUGUCCUCUUCCACUUGGACGUAUUAUAAAUGAAUGGCCCAGUAAGAUAUCUCAUGAUGGAAGGAGCAUCAGCUCUCCAUCAGGCAGACCUGGUUUUAAAUUCCGACUCCGUCACUUUCUGGCUGUGUGGCCUUAAGCAGCUCCCUUAAUCUCUGUGAGCUUCGGUUUCCUCAUCUCUAACUGGGAGAAUAACACUCACUUUGCAGGGUUUAAAAAGACCGUCUGGAGCAGCUACUACUGUACUUGCCCCAGAGUAAGCACCUCCUUUAAAAGAUGGCCCGGAUCUGUGAAUUUCACUGCUCUGAUCUCUAUUAGUGAUUUCAUUCAAGUGCCCAUGGUGAAAACUGUAAACCAAGUUAAUUCAAACUUUCAUUCCAAAGACAGCCACAAAAGCACAAAAUAAAGCUUGCAAAAUGUUCCACUAAUUACCAGAGAAUUUCUAAACAAUAUUCCAGAGUUGCUGGGA